rnacentral:rRNA from 1 species
AAUGAACGCUGGCGGCAUGCCUAACACAUGCAAGUCGAACGAGACCUUCGGGUCUAGUGGCGCACGGGUGCGUAACGCGUGGGAAUCUGCCCUUGGGUUCGGAAUAACAGUUAGAAAUGACUGCUAAUACCGGAUGAUGUCGAAAGACCAAAGAUUUAUCGCCCGAGGAUGAGCCCGCGUAGGAUUAGCUAGUUGGUGAGGUAAAGGCUCACCAAGGCGACGAUCCUUAGCUGGUCUGAGAGGAUGAUCAGCCACACUGGGACUGAGACACGGCCCAGACUCCUACGGGAGGCAGCAGUGGGGAAUAUUGGACAAUGGGCGAAAGCCUGAUCCAGCAAUGCCGCGUGAGUGAUGAAGGCCUUAGGGUUGUAAAGCUCUUUUACCCGGGAUGAUAAUGACAGUACCGGGAGAAUAAGCUCCGGCUAACUUCGUGCCAGCAGCCGCCGUAACAC